UUUAGUAAAGUGUCUUAGCACAUCAUAUUUUGGUUAUGGAAGUGGGCGUUCUCUGCUUUUC
rnacentral:tRNA from 1 species